rnacentral:misc_RNA from 1 species
AUCUGUCAAAUUCUAAAAUGCCUUGACAGCUUCAAACCAAGUUUAUUAUUUUAGCAACUAAAUCUAUUAUAGGGAGACGUGCAUAGUAUCUGCCAGAGUGAUGUAAAUCAGCACUUCUUUAAGCUAAAUUUCUUUUGUCCCUCAUUGGAUAACUACAAAAUUUAUGAACUUAUCUCACAACAUAUAGCAUCUACCAUCUAACCUGAAAAUCACUUGCAAUUAUGAAAAUGGUAAUGGGAUCACACAAUAGAUGUUUUAACAUGCAUAUUUACUAUCAGCCGAGAAUCAUCGAACAAAAAAUGCUUUUACAUCCACAUUUUCUCCAUGCCACUGUAUUGACAACAACCUGUGAAGAAAGUUUACUACUUUCACUCUGAUAAGCUGACAAAGUUAAAGCAAUCAAUAAAAAACAAAAUUUAAAAAAAGUUGCAUCCAUAAAUCUUUGAAAACUUUUAAUUUGAAAAUUAUUAGUAUCAGAUGCUAAGAUGAGGUGUCAAAUGUCAAUAAUCUGUACAUUUGUCUAUAAUGUUACCAGGUACACAUCAUAUCCAAAUGAUCAGCAGCCA